rnacentral:rRNA from 1 species
UACGUAGGGGGCAAGCGUUGUCCGGAUUCAUUGGGCGUAAAGAGCGUGUAGGCGGCCAGGUAGGUCGGUUGUGAAAACUGGAGGUUCAACCUUCAGAGGUCGACCGAAACCAUCUGGCUAGAGUCCGGGAGAGGAGAGUGGAAUUCCUGGUGUAGCGGUGAAAUGCGCAGAUAUCAGGAAGAACACCCGUGGCGAAAGCGGCUCUCUGGAACGGUACUGACGCUGAGACGCGAAAGCGUGGGGAGCAAACGGG